rnacentral:rRNA from 1 species
UACAGAGGGUGCAAGCGUUAUCCGGAUUCACUGGGUUUAAAGGGUGCGUAGGUGGGCAGGUAAGUCAGUGGUGAAAUCUCCGGGCUUAACCCGGAAACUGCCAUUGAUACUAUCUGUCUUGAAUACCGUGGAGGUGAGCGGAAUAUGUCAUGUAGCGGUGAAAUGCUUAGAUAUGACAUAGAACACCAAUUGCGAAGGCAGCUCACUACGCGAAUAUUGACACUGAGGCACGAAAGCGUGGGAUCAAACAGG